GGGCGGUUAGCUCAGCUGGAAGAGCGUCACGUUUACACCGUGAAUGUCGGCGGUUCGAUCCCGUCACCGCCCACCA
rnacentral:tRNA from 2 species